rnacentral:tRNA from 1 species
CCGCCAUUAGCUCAUCAGGAAGAGCAGACGACAACCAGGAUUGUUGUGUACGGGGUUCGAGGCCUCGAUGGCGGUCCA